CACCGCCCUACAAUCCUGCUUUGUGCUGAGAUUGUAGUCCUGCAGGCGUACAACUAACAAGCUGGGUGCAGAUAAGAGACUACAGCUCCCCGCAUCCCAAGCAAAGGUCCCUCCUCUACGGAGCCCCUCCACGCGUCCACUGCGGUUCCGCCGUGCCAAGGGGAGCUUGGCUGUUCACGGGCCUCACCUGCUAGCGAGAAGAUAGCUUGGCCGGGCGGCUGAUCUCACCUUGUAAUUCUGACACUGUGUCUCCCGGGCUUGUCGGCUUCAUGACUUGUGCCCAAAGUUUGAUUUCUCGCAGACCAGGAGGACCCAUUGGACCCCCGGGCUGGCUGCAGGGCCCACACCUGGGUUAGACCUCGCACAGGGACGCUGCUGCCACUGUAAUAAAGCGUGCCUACACGCUUCUGAAACUGGUGUAGGAACAACCUCAGUUCUGUGAAAGGCGGACGCAGCAGGACAGAAUCUCCGUGGACAUCUGUCUGGAGGAGCAAUUUUACUGCGACAUUUUAAAGAAACAAAUUUAAUUGAUUUCCAAGGUCUUUUUG
rnacentral:lncRNA from 1 species